rnacentral:lncRNA from 1 species
GCACUUGGAGCCCAGGGCAGGGUUCACAGAGCUAUUUUCAGUUCUCUUGCAGGAUCUCCUUCCCAGCCUUCAGAAAUUGCCGGUCUGGGAGUUGGGGGCAAGGAGAAGAUCCUGCAACCCAGUGAUUCCAUGGAAAGCAGAAAGAAGGACAUAAAGAAACGGAUACUUGGUGACAUCUUUGACUCACUGGAUCAAACCUUGCCUGAAGCUCACAUUUCUGAAAUUUCCAGAUACAAGAACAAAUACUUCCUCUUUAUUGUUUUACUAGAUUUGAGACAAGCUUUAAGUUUCUCAGACUCUUCCUCUUCCUAACAGAUUUAUCAGAAGCUGAAAGCUCUGAUCUUGUUGGGAUGCGGAUCGUGUCAGGAGAAGGCUUACUUUGCACGCUUUUCUUAGUCUGGUUGCCUAACUCAAGAACCUCGGCAUGGCUCUGUUACUUCUCUACUCAGACAAGCAUCCCUGCAGACACUCACUAGGCUAACUCUGUCUUUAUUUUUAGAAUUAGACCUUUACGAGAAGCACAGUUUUGUCUUCAGUUUCCUCUCCCCCCACCCGGAAUGGCCUGAGCCGAAGCCAGCUCCCUCCGAGAAGUCAUUACCGCCUGACUUGCGUUUGAUAUUUAGACACCUUGGUCACAACAUCUUGCAUUCUCUCGGGAUGCUGAUUUCUAACUGCUCUUUGGCCUUUCCUGCAUUGGUCCUCCUCAGGCAGGGGAUCCCUGCUCUUCUAUAUUAGUGAGUA